GUCUCUGUAGCGCAUUGGAUAGCGAGUUUGAUUUCUAAUUAAAAGGUCGUGGGUUCAAAUCCCACCUGGAAUG